rnacentral:rRNA from 1 species
GUGAGGAAUUUUCCGCAAUGGGCGAAAGCCUGACGGAGCAAUGCCGCGUGAAGAAUGAAGGCCUAUGGGUUGUAAACUUCUUUUCUCAGAAAAGAAUUAUGACGGUAUCUGAGGAAUAAGCAUCGGCUAACUCUGUGCCAGCAGCCGCGGUAAGACAGAGGAUGCAAGCGUUAUCCGGAAUGAUUGGGCGUAAAGCGUCUGUAGGUUGUUUAAAAAGUAUUCUGUCAAAGAUUAGGGCUUAACCCUAGAUAGGCAGAAUAAACUUUUAAGCUAGAGGUUGGUAGAGGCAGAGGGAAUUCCCGGUGGAGCGGUGAAAUGCGUAGAUAUCGGGAGGAACACCAAAGGCGAAGGCACUCUGCUGGGCCAAUACUAACACUGAGAGACGAAAGCGAGGGGAGCAAAUGGGAUUAGAAACCCGGGUAGUCC